rnacentral:rRNA from 1 species
UACGUAGGGUGCGAGCGUUAAUCGGAAUUACUGGGCGUAAAGCGUGCGCAGGCGGUUCGUUAAGUCAGAUGUGAAAGCCCCGGGCUCAACCUGGGAACUGCAUUUGAAACUGGCGGGCUUGAGUGUGGCAGAGGGGGGUGGAAUUCCGCGUGUAGCAGUGAAAUGCGUAGAGAUGCGGAGGAACACCGAUGGCGAAGGCAGCCCCCUGGGCCAACACUGACGCUCAGGUACGAAAGCGUGGGGAGCAAACAGG